rnacentral:rRNA from 1 species
CGACGCAACGCGAAGAACCUUUACCAGGGCUUUGACAUCCCUCGCCAUCCAUAGAAAUAUGGAGUUCUAUGCUACGGUAUAGACGAGGAGACAGGUGGUGCAUGGUUGUCGUCAGCUCGUGUCGUGAGAUGUUGGGUUAAGUCCCGCAACGAGCGCAACCCCUACUUUUAGUUUGCCAGCAGUAAGAUGGGCACUCUAAGGAACUGCCGGUGACAACCGGAGGAAGUGGGAUGACGUCAAAUCAUCAUGCCCUUUAUGUUCUGGGCUACACACGUGCUACAAUGGCCGGUACAGAGGGUAGCGAAGGAGCGAUCCGGAGCCAAUCCCAAAAAGCCGGUCUCAGUUCGGAUUGCAGGCUACAACUCGCCUGCAUGAAGUCGGAAUCGCUAGUAAUCGCGAGUCAGCAUAUCGCGGUGAAUACGUUCCCGGGUCUU